GUGCUUGCUUCAGCGUCACAUAUACUAAAAUUGGAACAAUACAGAGAUGAACAUGGCUCUUGCUCAAGGAUUUUUAAAAAUAAUUAAAAUGGCCAGGCGUGG
rnacentral:snRNA from 10 species